GAUGAACGCUGGCGGCGUGCCUAAUACAUGCAAGUCGAGCGAACAGACGAGGAGCUUGCUCCUCUGACGUUAGCGGCGGACGGGUGAGUGACACGUGGAUAACCUACCUAUAAGACUGGGAUAACUUCGGGAAACCGGAGCUAAUACCGGAUAAUAUAUUGAACCGCAUGGUUCAAUAGUGAAAGACGGUUUUGCUGUCACUUAUAGAUGGAUCCGCGCCGCAUUAGCUAGUUGGUAAGGUAACGGCUUACCAAGGCGACGAUGCGUAGCCGACCUGAGAGGGUGAUCGGCCACACUGGAACUGAGACACGGUCCAGACUCCUACGGGAGGCAGCAGUAGGGAAUCUUCCGCAAUGGGCGAAAGCUUGACGGAGCAACGCCGCGUGAGUGAUGAAGGUCUUCGGAUCGUAAAACUCUGUUAUUAGGGAAGAACAAAUGUGUAAGUAACUAUGCACGUCUUGACGGUACCUAAUCAGAAAGCCACGGCUAACUACGUG
rnacentral:rRNA from 1 species